rnacentral:snRNA from 1 species
ACACUUCCCAGGUGCCGAGGCGUCGUUGAUUCCCGAAGACCAGCCCCCAGGGCGAGGCGCGCUCUUUGCACUGCGCUCGCGUUGGCCCCUGCCGCUACCCCAAACUAUGGCAGAUGGGCCAUGCAAAUUGC